rnacentral:rRNA from 1 species
UUCCAAGCGAUACUUAUGUUGGACUCACUCGGGAGUCGAGACAUCAUCAAACAGAAGUAGUAGCAGACCUCUUCUCUUCUGUUCAUGUGACCCACCGCACCCGCCACCCCGCUAACAGUACAGUUAACCCCCAAAUCCAGCCGUCGCGAGCAUCUCCCUCCACCUUUCCACCAUGGCGGCCUCGGCGGCGCGUUCCCUCGCGCUCUUCUCCUCCGCCGCCUCGCUCGGCCUCGGGCGCGCCUCGUCCCGCCUCGCGCUCACCUCCUCCUCCUCCUCCCACUCGGGGCUUCUCCCCCGGCCGGCGCUCGCCUUCCGCGGGCGCUCCUCGUUCGCCGCCACGGCCGUCGUGAUGGGGAAGGCCGGCGCCGUCGACGCCGAGGCGGACGCGGGGAUGGACGCCGUCCAGCGCCGGCUCAUGUUCGACGACGAGUGCAUAUUAGUCGAUGAACAUGACAAUGUCAUUGGCCACGAGUCUAAGUAUAACUGCCAUCUCAUGGAAAAGAUAGAAUCAGGGCAUGCCCUUCACAGAGCGUUCAGUGUUUUUCUUUUCAACUCCAAAUAUGAAUUGUUACUUCAGCAACGGUCUACGACAAAAGUGACAUUUCCACUUGUCUGGACAAACACUUGCUGUAGCCACCCUUUACACCGUGAGUCUGAGCUCAUUGAGGAGAACUGCCAAGGGGUCAGAAAUGCAGCACAGAGGAAACUAUUUGACGAACUGGGAAUACAGGCUGAAGAUUUACCAGUUGACCAAUUCAUCCCACUCGGGAAGAUGCUUUACAAGGCUCCAUCUGAUGGAAAAUGGGGCGAACACGAACUGGACUACCUCCUGUUCAUGGUUCGGGACGUGAAGCUCAACCCAAACCCCGAAGAAGUGUCCGACGUCAAGUACGUGAACCGUGACGAGCUGAAGCAGCUGAUUAAGAAAGCAGAUGACGGGGAAGGUGGCAUCAAGCUGUCCCCUUGGUUCAGGCUGGUGGUGGACAACUUCCUGAUGGGCUGGUGGGAUCAUGUUGAGCAAGGGACUCUGAAGGAGGCUGCCGACAUGAAAGCCAUUCAUAAGUUGUAGAACGUGUAGAGCGUCAGGGUGAUUCAUCCAUUCGAUGAGG